GGGGAGGUUGAGAAAUGAUCUUGUGUUGUUUUAAGGGGAAAUCUGUAGUUGGUAGUUUUUAGACUUUUUUAAAUGAAUGAUGUGUACUCUUUUGAUUCGUGAAGGAAAUAACUUAUGAGCUUAGUUGUCCUACCCCAUCAGAACCCAAAGUAUAAGCUUGUUUUUAAAUCUAAACAAACAUGGUGCACCCGCAACUAUAAUGUUGAUAUCAUGGACGGUCAGUCCGUGUCUCCAAAGCUCUGACAAGGAUUUUGAGAGUGGUUACAUUAUUCCAGCCCCAUCCCUCAGCUGUUUGCCAAAUCAGUGGCGGGGUGCCACGUUGUUAUCGUUCAAACUGCGGAUUGCCGCUUUAAUGCACACAUCACACCAUACCGGUGCAUCACAACUCAAGUCCUGAGAAGCUAGUUGUGAUUGGCUGUUGUGUCGGAUGUUUUUUGUCACCCAAGAAAUCGUGAAUUGAAAGGUGAAACACCGUCCUCGGAUUAGCGCUUGGGGGGGGAUGUUUUCAUUCCAGAAGGUUAGCUUGCGUCACACAUUCCAAAUGUGAACGCGUUAACAUGGUCUGACACAGUUCCAUCUACAAGCAGUUUCAUUCGAGAGGUUCCAGCACAUUUUCAUGAUGGUGUAUCUGAGGAGAACAAGCCGUGGGAGUGCAGCAGGCUGUCAGUUGGAGUCAUUCUCGAUGUCUCUGGCGAGGCCGAAGUCGCAGAUCUUAGCCACACGGCCAUCGGUCAAGAGGACGUUCCUAGCCGCCACGUCCCUGUGAAUGCACUGCACGAAGACAACAUAGGCGUCAUUCAUAUG